AGUGCCUUUUAUUUUCCUCUUAGUACUUGAAGAAUCUCCUCUUGAAAGAUAAUAACAUGAGGAUAGAAGGUAUGAGACUAAUUUGUGGUUUGAUUGUGGUGAUUGUGUUGCUGAAUUUAAAGAAAGGUGAGAGCAGAAAAUCAAAGAGUGGUUCUAGAAGCAAUUCAUUUGUAAACUGCAGAGCACACAGUGCAUCAUUGGCUGAUUAUGGAGGAGUUGGUGAUGGAAAAACAUCAAACACAAAGGCAUUUGAAAAUGCAAUCAGAAACCUGAGUCAGUAUGAAGAGUUGGUGAUGGAAAAACAUUAAACACAAAGGCAUUUGAAAAUGCAAUCAGAAACCUGAGUCAGUAUGAAGAGUUGGUGAUGGAAAAACAUUAAACACAAAGGCAUUUGAAAAUGCAAUCAGAAACCUGAGUCAGUAUGAAUCAAAAGGUGGUGCUCAGCCCUGUUCCUGCUGGCAAAUGGCUCACGGGAAGCUUCAAUCUCAUUGGAGUUCUAAGAAAAAAAAUUAAUUUGCAUAUAUACAACUACUUUGAUACUUUGUUUUUGAAAUAUAACAUUUCAAUUAUGUC